UGGGGAAUCUUGCACAAUGGGGGAAACCCUGAUGCAGCGACGCCGCGUGAGCGAUGAAGGUUUUCGAAUCGUAAAGCUCUGUCCUAUGGGAAGAUAAUGACGGUACCAUAGGAGGAAGCCCCGGCUAACUACGUGCCAGCAGCCGCGGUAAUACGUAGGGGGCGAGCGUUGUCCGGAAUUACUGGGCGUAAAGGGUUCGCAGGCGGCAUGACAAGUCCGAUGUAAAAGGCGAAAGCUCAACUUUCGUAAGCAUCGGAAACUGUCAAGCUUGCGUGAAGGAGAGGCAAGUGGAAUUCCUAGUGUAGCGGUGGAAUGCGUAGAUAUUAGGAGGAAUACCGGUGGCGAAGGCGACUUGCUGGACUUCAACUGACGCUGAGGAACGAAAGCGUGGGUAGCAAACAGG
rnacentral:rRNA from 1 species